rnacentral:rRNA from 1 species
UCUGGUUGAUCCUGCCUGAACUGAUGUGUUUAUUUCAAAGAUUAAGCCAUGCAUGUAUAAGUUUAAUCGUUUAUCGAGAAACCGCGAACGGCUCAUUACAAUGGCCAUUAUUUACUUGAUCUUGAUUGUCUAAAUGGAUAACUGUGGAAAAGCUAGAGCUAAUACAUGCACUAAAGCUUUGUCCUUACGGAAAAGCGCAUUUAUUAGAACAAAACCACGCGACUUCGGCUGCUUCUUGUUGACUCAGAAUAACUUAGCUGACCGCAUGGCCUUGUGCCGGCGGCGUGUCUUUCAAGCGUCCACUUUAUCAACUUGACGGGAGCAUAAUCGACUCCCGUGGUGGUGACGGAUAACGGAGGAUCAGGGUUCGACUCCGGAGAAGGGGCCUGAGAAAUGGCCACUACGUCUAAGGAUGGCAGCAGGCGCGCAAAUUACCCACUCUCGGCUCGAGGAGGUAGUGACGAGAAAUAACGAGACUGUUCUCUUUGAGGCCGGUCAUCGGAAUGGGUACAAUUUAAACCCUUUAACGAGUAUCAAGCAGAGGGUAAGUCUGGUGCCAGCAGCCGCGGUAAUUCCAGCUCUGCAAAUACAUAGAAUUAUUGCUGCGGUUAGAAAGCUCAUAGUUGGAUUCGUAUCGAUACCUUGGAACCCUUCGGGUGUCUCUAGGUGUUAUCGAUUUAUCGUAAUGUUCGGUUUUGAGUCCUUAACAGGAUUCUUAACAGGCAUUGCAAGUUUACUUUGAACAAAUCAGAGUGCUUCAAACAGGCGUUUUCGCUUGAAUGAUCGUGCAUGGAAUAAUAGAAAAUGAUUUCGGUUCAGUUUUAUUGGUUUUACGGACUGAGAUAAUGGUUAACAGAGACAAACGGGGGCAUUUGUAUGGUCCCGUGAGAGGUGAAAUUCUUGGACCGUGGCCAGACAAACUACAGCGAAAGCAUUUGCCAACAAUGUUUUUAUUAAUCAAGAACGAAAGUCAGAGGUUCGAAGGCGAUCAGAUACCGCCCUAGUUCUGACCGUAAACGAUGCCAACUAGCGAUCCGCCGAUGGAAAUUAUAUUGCCUUGGUGGGGAGCUUCCCGGAAACGAAAGUCUUCCGGUUCCGGGGGAAGUAUGGUUGCAAAGCUGAAACUUAAAGGAAUUGACGGAAGGGCACCACCAGGAGUGGAGCCUGCGGCUUAAUUUGACUCAACACGGGGAAACUCACCCGGCCCGGACACUGUGAGGAUUGACAGAUUGAUAGCUUUUUCAUGAUUCAGUGUAUGGUGGUGCAUGGCCGUUCUUAGUUCGUGGAGUGAUUUGUCUGGUUUAUUCCGAUAACGAGCGAGACUCUAACCUACUAAAUAGUUGGUACAUACUCUUAGUGUAUACAGCUUCUUAGAGGGAUUUGCGGCGUUCAGCCGAAAGAAAUUGAGCAAUAACAGGUCUGUGAUGCCCUUAGAUGUCCGGGGCUGCACGCGCGCUACACUGGCAAAAUCAACGUGCUUGUCCUACCCUGAAAGGGGCGGGUAAACCAUUGAAAAUUUGCCGUGAUUGGGAUCGGAAAUUGCAAUUAUUUUCCGUGAACGAGGAAUUCCAAGUAAGUGCGAGUCAUCAGCUCGCGUUGAUUACGUCCCUGCCCUUUGUACACACCGCCCGUCGCUGCCCGGGACUGAGCCAUUUCGAGAAAUUUGGGGACCGUUGAUUUAAUUUUUCUAAAUUACUUUGAUGGAAACCAAUUUAAUCGCAGUGGCUUGAACCGGGCAAAAGUCGUAACAAGGUAGCUGUAGGUGAACCUGCUGCUG